AUGCAAGUGCAGGCGGCCGCUACCAUACAGCUUUGUCUUGCGGAUCAGGUCAUGUAUCAUGUCAUGGACGAAGAUUCUCCUAAGGGAAUUUGGGACAAGUUGGCAAAUCGUUAUAUGUCCAAGUCAGCGACCAAUAAGCUGUAUUUGAAGCAAAAGUUCUAUGGGCUGAAGAAGCAGGAGGGGUUGGAUCUUGUCGAGCAUGUGAACGCAUUUAAUCAAUUGGUCACGGAUCUAGCGCGUCUGGAUGUGAAGAUUGAGGACGAGGAUAAGGCACUACUUCUUCUUGUUUCGUUGCCACCAUCCUAUGAGCAUUUGGUCAUUACAUUGACACAUGGAAAGACAACCGUCAAUAAUGAAGAAGUCACUGCAGCGUUGCUUGGACGUGAGUUGAGGAAGCAAAAGAAUGCUACAGAGGAGAGUACUCAAGGUUUGGGGUUGGCAGUUAAAGGUUAUUAG
rnacentral:rRNA from 1 species